rnacentral:misc_RNA from 1 species
AUCAAGUCCUUUCUGAAUGUCCUGAUAAGCAUGGCAGAAUUUUGUUUGUCAGAAGAAAAGACACUUUCAGAGAGAUGGUGCUUACAAAAUAAUAACUUCUAUAAUUUAAAAAAUUACUUGCAAAUGCAGAAAAUUAACCACAUUCCACGUCUUUCUUCUGCCAUUAACAUACAUAUGCAUAUCCAUAGUUGGUAAAUCCAUAACAACCAACACAAGAUUUAUUUCUUAUAUAAUAGCAGUUCAGCAUACCUGGGGUAGGGCAUCUCGCCUCG